rnacentral:rRNA from 1 species
UUAUCGUUUAUUUGAUAUUGCCUAUCCUACAUGGAUAACAGUGGUAAUUCUAGAGCUAAUACAUGCUGAAAAUCCCGACUUCGGAAGGGACGUAUUUAUUAGAAUCAGAACCAAUGCCCUUCGGGGUUUUCUGGUGACUCAUGAUAACUCCACAGAUCGCAUGGCCUUGCGCCGGCGAUGGCUCAUUCAAAUUUCUUCCCUAUCAACUUUCGACGGUACGGUCUUGGCCUACCGUGGUUGUAACGGGUGACGGAGGGUUAGGGCUCGACCCCGGAGAAGGAGCCUGAGAAACGGCUACUACAUCCAAGGAAGGCAGCAGGCGCGCAAAUUAUCCAAUCCCGACUCGGGGAGAUAGUGACAAUAAAUACCGAUACAGGGCUCUUUUGGGCCCUGUAAUUGGAAUGAGUACAAUUUAAACCUCUUAACGAGGAACAAUUGGAGGGCAAGUCUGGUGCCAGCAGCCGCGGUAAUUCCAGCUCCAAUAGCGUAUAUUAAAGUUGUUGUGGUUAAAAAGCUCGUAGUCGAACCUCGAGCCUGGCCGGCCGGUCCGCCUCACCGCGUGCACUGGUCUGGCCGGGCUCUUCCCUCUGCGGAACCGCAUGUCCUUCACUGGGCGUGUCGGGGAGGCAGGACUUUUACUUUGAAAAAAUUAGAGUGCUCAAGGCAGGCCAAUGCUCGAAUACAUUAGCAUGGAAUAAUAGAAUAGGACGUUGGUUCUAUUUUGUUGGUUUCUAGGACCGCCGUAAUGAUCAAUAAGGGACGGUCGGGGGCAUCAGUAUUCAGCCGUCAGAGGUGAAAUUCUUGGACCGGCUG